rnacentral:rRNA from 1 species
AGUGAACGCUGGCGGUAGGCCUAACACAUGCAAGUCGAACGGCAGCACAGUAAGAGCUUGCUCUUACGGGUGGCGAGUGGCGGACGGGUGAGGAAUACAUCGGAAUCUACUUUUUCGUGGGGGAUAACGUAGGGAAACUUACGCUAAUACCGCAUACGACCUACGGGUGAAAGCAGGGGAUCUUCGGACCUUGCGCGAUUGAAUGAGCCGAUGUCGGAUUAGCUAGUUGGCGGGGUAAAGGCCCACCAAGGCGACGAUCCGUAGCUGGUCUGAGAGGAUGAUCAGCCACACUGGAACUGAGACACGGUCCAGACUCCUACGGGAGGCAGCAGUGGGGAAUAUUGGACAAUGGGCGCAAGCCUGAUCCAGCAAUACCGCGUGGGUGUAGAAGGCCUUCGGGUUGUAAAGCCCUUUUGUUGGGAAAGAAAAGCAGCAGGUUAAUACCCCGCUGUUCUGACGGUACCCAAAGAAUAAGCACCGGCUAACUUCGUG